UACAGAGGUCUCAAGCGUUGUUCGGAUUCAUUGGGCGUAAAGGGUGCGUAGGUGGCGUGGUAAGUCGGAUGUGAAAUCCCGGGGCUCAACCCCGGAACUGCAUUCGAUACUGCCUUGCUAGAGUACUGGAGAGGAGAUUGGAAUUUACGGUGUAGCAGUGAAAUGCGUAGAUAUCGUAAGGAAGACCAGUGGCGAAGGCGGAUCUCUGGACAGUUACUGACACUGAGGCACGAAGGCCAGGGGAGCAAACGGG
rnacentral:rRNA from 1 species